rnacentral:rRNA from 1 species
UAAGACGGAGGAGGCAAGCGUUAUCCGGAAUUAUUGGGCGUAAAGCGUCCGUAGGUGGUGAAUCAAGUCUUUUGUUAAAUAGCUGAGCUUAACUCAGUGCGAGCGGAAGAAACUGAUUUACUUGAGUUUGGUAGGGGUAGAGGGAAUUCCAGGUGUAGCGGUGAAAUGCGUAGAUAUCUGGAAGAACACCAGUGGCGAAGGCGCUCUACUGGGCCAAAACUGACACUGAGGGACGAAAGCUAGGGGAGCGAAAGGG